AUUGAACGCUGGCGGAAUGCUUUACACAUGCAAGUCGAACGGCAGCACGGACUUCGGUCUGGUGGCGAGUGGCGAACGGGUGAGUAAUGUAUCGGAACGUGCCCAGUCGUGGGGGAUAACGUAGUGAAAAUUACGCUAAUACCGCAUACGAUCUAUGGAUGAAAGCGGGGGAUCGCAAGACCUCGCGCGAUUGGAGCGGCCGAUAUCAGAUUAGGUAGUUGGUGGGGUAAAGGCCCACCAAGCCAACGAUCUGUAGCUGGUCUGAGAGGACGACCAGCCACACUGGAACGGAGACACGGUCCAGACUCCUACGGGAGGCAGCAGUGGGGAAUGUUGGACAAUGGGAGAAAGCCUGAUCCAGCCAUUCCGCGUGCAGGAUGAAGGCCCUCGGGUUGUAAACUGCUUUUGUACAGAACGAAAAGGUUUCUACUAAUACUAGGAGCUCAUGACGGUACCUGCAGAAAAAGCACCGGCUAACUACGUGCCAGCCGCCGCCGUAA
rnacentral:rRNA from 1 species